UUAAAAUAUAAAAGCAUUGUUUUAGUAGGUUUUUAAAUGGAUAUGACUUUGCAUAUCUUGUAUCCAAGGUUUUAAACUUGCUCAAACAAAGAAAUAUGGUAAAACUUGAAUUGGUUUUAAUUUUUCACAAUGUUAAGUGUAAGUUGUAAAGGAUUUUGGAGCUUAAAACAUCAAACUUUGUUUUUGAACAAUCUGGCAUAAAAACCACUCGCACAAUUUUUGCACGAUUUUAAUUUUUCAAUGUGUUUCAUACUUAUUUGCUUUUAGAUACAUUUUUAGGUGCUCUAAGGAACUUAUGAGAUUACAUAUGAAAGAUCUAGAUAUUUUGAUAUUAUUUGAGAAGUUGUUAUUAGCGCUUGAUGUUAUAAAUUUUGUGCUAACUUGUUUUAACAAUUUAUAGGGGUAGCAGUCGAAGUGUAAUAUUUUUGAAAUUUUAUGUUUUGUUUUGAAAAUUAUUUUUACUAGAGUCAAGCUUUAAAAUAUGAAAGCAUUGUUUUAGCAGGUUUUUAAAUGGAAAUGAAUUUGAAUAUCUUCAAAUCCAAUGUUUUAAACGUGCUCGAAUAAAGAAACAUAGUAAAACUUGCGUUUGUUUUAAUUUUUCACAGUGUUAAGUGUAAGUUGUAAAGGAUUUUGGAGCUUAAAACAUCAAACGUUUUUGAACAAUCUGGCAUAAAAACCACUCGCACAAUUUUUGCACGAUUUUAAUUUUUCAGUGUGUUUCAUACUUAUUUACUUUUAGAUUCAUUUUUAAGUGCUCUAAGGAACUUAUGGGAUUACAUAUGAAAGAUAUAGAUAUUUGUAUAUUAUUUGUGAAGUUGUCAUUGGCGCUUGAUGUUAUAAAUUAUGUGCUAACUUGUUUUAACAGUUUAUAGGGAUAACAGUUGAAGCGUAAUACUUUUGAAAUUUUAUGUCUUACUUUGAAAAUGAUUUUCACCGGAGUCGAGCUUUAAAGUAUGAAAGCAUUGUUUUAGCAGGUUUUUAAAUGUAAAAAGAAUUUGAAUAUCUUCAAAUCCAAUGUUUUAAACGUGCGCGAACAAAGAAACAUAGUAAAACUUGCGUUUGUUUUAAUUUUUCACAGUUUUAAGUGUAAGUUAUAAAGGUUUUUGGAGCUUAAAACAAUAGACUUUAUUUUUGAACAAUUUUGGGCAUAACAACCAUUCGUACAAUUUCAAAUGGUGACAUAAAAACCAUUUUUGCAUGAUUUUAAUUUUUUAUUAUUUUCAUACUUUGUUGCUUUUAAAUAUAUUUUUAGGUGCUCUAAGGAACUUGUGAAAUUACAUAUGAAUGAUCUUGAUAUUUGGAUUUUUUUUUGUGAAGUUUUUAUUGGUGCUUUGUAGUGAUUAAUUGUGUGCUAACUUGUUUUACCAGUUUAUAGGGGGACCACUCGAAGCCUAAUGCUUUAGUAAUUUUAUGUUUUGCUUUGGAAAUGAUUUUCAUUGGAGUCAAGUUUUAAAGUAUGAAAGUAUUAUUUUAGCAGGUUUUUAAAGCAGAAAUGAAUUUGAAUAUCUUGAAUCAAAUGUUUUUAAAUGUGCUAAAACAAAGAAACCUAGUAAACUUUUGUUAGUUUUAAUUUUUCACAGUGUAAGCUAUAAAGGAUUUUGGAGCUUAAAACAUUAGACUUUGUUUUUGAACAAUUCUGGCAUAAAAACUACUUGCACAAAUUUUGCACGAUUUUAAUUUUUCUUUGUGUUUCAUACUUGUUUGCUUUUAGAUACAUUUUUAGGUGCUAUGAGGAACUUAUGAGAUUACAUAUGAGUGAUCUAGAUAUUUGGAUAUUAUUUGUGAAGUUAUGGGCACUUGAUGUUAUAAAUUGUGUGCUAACUUGUUUUAGCAGUUUAUAGGGGGGAGUAGUCGAAGCUUAAUUCUUUUGAAAUUUUAUGUUUUGCUUUGAAAAUGAUUUUCACCGGAGUCGAGCUUUAAAAUAUAAAAGCAUUGUUUUGGCAAGUUUUUAAAUGAAAAUGAAUUUUAAUGUCAUGAAUCCAAUGUUUUAAAUGUACUCGAACAAAGAAAAAUGGUAAAACUUGCAUUGGUUUUAAUUUUUCACAAUGUUAAGUGUAAGUUAUAAAGGAUUUUGGAGCUUAAAACAUCAUACUUUAUUUUUGAACAAUUAUGAGCGUAAAAACCAUUCGCACAAUUACUGCACGAUUUUAAUUUUUCGUUGUCUUUCAUACUUAUUUGCUUUUAGAUACAUUUUUAGGUGCUCUAAGGAACUUAUGGAAUUACAUGUGAAUGAUCUUGAUAUUUGGAUAUUAUUUCUGAAAGUUUUAUUGGCGCUCAAUGUGAUUAAUUGUGUGAUAACUUGUUUUAGCAGUUUUAUCAGGAGAGCACUCGAAGCCUAAUGCUUUUGAAAUUUUAUGUUUUGCUUUAAAAAUGAUUUUCACUGGAGUCGAGCUUUAAAAUACUAAAGCAUUGUUUUAGCAAGUUUUUAAAUGGAAAUGAAUUUGAUUAUCUUGAAUCCAAUGUCUUAAACUUGUUUAAAAAAAGAAACAUGGUAAAGCUUGCAUUUGUUUUAAUUUUUCAUAGUGUUAAGUGUAAGUUAUAAAUGAUUUUACAGCUUAAAACAUCAGACUUAGUUUUUGAACAAUUCUUGGCAUAAAAGCCAUUCGCACAAUUUCAAAUUGUGACAUAAAAACCAAUUUUGCACGAUUUUAAUUUUUUUAUUGUAUUUCAUACUUAUUUGCUUUUAAAUAAAUUUUUAAGUGCUCUAAGGAACUUGUGGGAUUACAUAAGAAUGAUCUUAGUAUUUGGAUAUUAAUUAUUAAUUUAUUAACAUAAAUUCUUAUUAUAUAUAUUUUUACUUAAUUAUAUAUAAAUAAUAAUUCUUAUGAUUUAAAUAUAUAAUUUAUUAAAUUAUUAACUAUAAAUAUUAUUCAGUUAUAAUUUAUACAGUUAAAAUUUAAACAAUAAUUUUAAUUUUAAUUAAUUUUAAUUAUAUAAAUAAAUUAAAUUUAAUAUUUAAAAUUAAUAUAUAUUAUAGUAUUAAGUAUAACUAGUAAAAAUAUAUUUAAUAAUAAUUAUUAAAAUAUUAUAUUUAAUUAAUUAAUUAAUAAGAUUUAAAUAUUUAUUAUAUUUAUGAAUUAAUUUAAAUAUAAAUUAAACUAAUUUAUCCUUAAUAAUUUAGUAAUUAUUAUUUAAGUUUAAUAUUAAUAAAAAUUAAAUUCAGUAUUUGAGAUAACUAUAUUAUUAUCUUAAUUAUUAUUAAUUAUAACAUAAUAAUUAGAUUUAUUUGUAUUAAUAAUUAUUAUUAUUAAUUAAUAACUUUUAAUUUUACGUAUAUAUUUCUAUUUUAUUUUAUUAUAAUGUUAUAAUGAUUGUUAAUAAAUAUUUAUAAUAUAUAUCGUAUAAUUUAAACAAAAGAAAUAAAAUAAUUUAAUAUAAUUUAUUCAAUUAUACAUGUCAUAUUACAAAUAUAUUUCUAUUAAUAUAUGUUAUUUUUAUUAAAUAGAAAAUUAAAAUAAUAGAUUAAAAUAAUAACAAUUAAAUAUUUAUAUUUAUAAUUUAAGUCUUUAAAGUAUUAAUUGCUAAUUAUUAAUUUUCUAUUUAAUUAAAUAAAUUGAUAAUUAAAUUUAAAAUUUAAAAUUUAAUUAAGAAUUAAAUAAUAAUACCAAUUUAUUACCUUUUGUUUAGUCAUCAAAUACUUGUUUCAUAUCUUACAAGUUUGUUUUAAAUAAUAAUUAUUUAUUUAACAAAUACCUAAAAGUCAAUAAUAUUUAAACUUAUUAAUAUAAUUCAAUCAAAAUAAUAAUAAAGAGUUUGUUAUUUAAUAACAAUUGUAAUUUAUGUGAAUAAUUAUACCUAAUAUUGAUAUUAUUAUUAGUAAUGAUUUUAAAUAGAUAAUUGUUGAAAUAGUCAUAACUAUUUGAACUUGUUCGGUAAAUAGAUUUACUUUUUCAAAUCUCAUGCUUAUUAAUUUUUUGAAUGUCAAUAAAUUAUGACCCUUAUCUUAUAAAUUGAAUAUUUUGAAAAUAGUUGGAGAUUUAAAUAAUAAGUAUAUUUACCAAACAAGUUUAAAUAGUUUAAAUUAUUAAAUCUUAUUAUUUAAAUAAUUAUUAAUUUAAAAAAUAAUUAUAUUCCCUAUAGUCUUAACUAUUUAAACUUAAAUUAGAAUAAUAUUCAAAUAGUUGUUUGUUCAACUUAUUAAUUUUAAUAAGUUUAUUAUUUUAAACUUAUUUAAAUUAUUUGAUAAUUUAAAUAAGUUUUAUAAAACAAUUAUAAAACUUAACUUAUAUUAAAAUAAUUAAUCAAUUACAUCAGUAUUAUCUAUUUAAUAAAUUAAAUAAUAAACUUAUUUAAACAAUUAUCUAAUUAAUAUUAAAAUAUUGAAAAUUAUCUAUUACAGUUUUAAUAAUUUAAUUAUUACCAUAAUAAAUUAAAUAUAAUAGUUAAAUUAUAAUAAUUAAUAAGUAAAUGUUUAUCAUUAUAAUAUAUUUAAUUAUAUAAUAUUAUUAUAUAUUAAAUAUUUAAAUUAAAUAUUUAUUAUAAUAUAUUAAUAUUAUAUAAUUUAAUUAUAUAAAAUAAUAAUUUUAUUAAACAAUUGAAUAAUAGUUAUGUAUAAUUUACAAACUAAUAUUUAGAUAAUUAAUAAUAUUAAUUAAUUAAUAUUCUAUUAUAUUAAAUAAUUAAUAAUAAUUUAUUUAAUAUAUUGUUAAAGAUAUAUUAUUUUCUUUAAAUAAUUAAUACUAAAUUAGUACAAUUAUUUGAAAUUGCUAAUUUUAGUAAUAAUAUUUAAAUUAUAAAUAUUAAUACAAAUAAUUAUAUUUGUAUAAUUAUCAAAUUUUCCUAUGACUAUUAAUAAUUUUUGGAACAUUUAGGAUAUUUAAUAUUUAUAAUUUAAUUUAAUUAUAUAAUUAAUACUAAACAAGAUUUAGUAUUAAAAUAUUUUUAGUAUUAUAAUUUUAAUUAAAUUAAUUAUCACAUUUGCACAGCUAAUAACAUAAAGCAACCAAAUUCACACCUAAUAACUUUGAUCCAAUUGCCAUUGAUAUAAUAAGAGUUUUACAAGCAUUAUAAAAAUCCUAACCCACUAUCGAGCAUAUAAGUUAAGCAAAAAAUUUAUUAUUAACAUAAUAUAUAUACAUUAAUAUAAUUAUUUGAUAAAAUACUAAACUAUAUAAUAAUACUAUAUAAUAAAUUUUUUAAAUAUAUUUAAAACUAAUUUUAAAAUAGAGAUUAUUAUAACUUAAUAAUAUUAUUAUUAAUUAGUAGUUUAAUUAAAUAGUUUAAUUAAUAUUUUAUGAGUAGCAAUAUUUGUUAAUAAAUAACUUAUUUAAUAAUAAUUUUAAUCUUUAUUUAAAUUAAUUUAAAUAAUAAUAUGAUUUAAUAAUAAUUUAAGUAUAAUAUAAUUAAAAAAAAUUAUAUUAUAUUAGAUAAUAUUAUUAUCUAUUUCUAAUUUUUAAUUAUAAAAUUAAUAUAAUAUUCAAAUAAUAUUAUAAUAAUUAUAAUAAUAAUUAAAUAACAAUAGUUAUUUGAAUAAUUAAUAUAUCCUUAAAUGCUUAACAAAUAUUACUAGUUUGUAAUAAUUUAUGAAUUUAUAACAAUUUGAAAUAAAUAAUUAUUUCAUAAGACAAUUGUUUCAGCUAAUACAAGCUUAAAUGGAGUAAAUUUAAUAAAUUAUUUAAUAUUGUUUCAUAAAUUUAAUAUGAAAUUAAGAAUUAUAAUAUAAUCAUUUUGUUAUUAAUUCUUGAAACAAUUAUAAUUCUAUAUUAAAUUUAUUAUAAACUAAUUACAUAUUAAAUAAUUAUUAUUCAAUUCUAUUAAUUCUAUAAAUUAUUAUUAUAAUUUAUAAUAAACAAUAAUUUAUAUAUAAUCUAGAUAUAAUAAUUAUUAUAUAAUAUUAAUGAUAUUUUGUGUUGUCGUAAAAUAAUUAUUCCUGUUCAUGCGAAAUUAUUUAGAAUAAAAUAUAUAAUCUAAUUAACACUAAAUUUAAUAAUUUAAUAAUUUGAUUAUUAAAUCUUAUAAAUUUAUUAUAAUUAUAAAUAAAUUAUAAUUUUAUUAUAUAAGUUAAAUUAUUUUAUGAAAAACUAAUCGUUAUUAAAUUAUAACAAUUAAAAAUAUUUGAAUUAUAACUAAUUUUUGUUAAAUUAAAUUAUUAUAAUCAAAUAUUUAAUAUUUAAUUAUAUGUAAUUAAAUUAUUUUAAUUUAAAUAAUCAUUAAUAUAUAUUUGUGAAGUUGUUAUUAGCGCUUGAUGUUAUAAAUUUUGUGCUAACUUGUUUUAACAAUUUAUAGGGGUAGCAGUCGAAGUGUAAUAUUUUUGAAAUUUUAUGUUUUGUUUUGAAAAUUAUUUUUACUAGAGUCAAGCUUUAAAAUAUGAAAGCAUUGUUUUAGCAGGUUUUUAAAUGGAAAUGAAUUUGAAUAUCUUCAAAUCCAAUGUUUUAAAACGUGCUCGAAUAAAGAAACAUAGUAAAACUUGCGUUUGUUUUAAUUUUUCACAGUGGUUAAGUGUAAGUUGUAAAGGAUUUUGGAGCUUAAAACAUCAAACGUUUUUGAACAAUCUGGCAUAAAACCACUCGCACAAUUUUUUGCACGAUUUUAAUUUUUCAGUGUGUUUCAUACUUAUUUACUUUUAGAUUCAUUUUUAAGUGCUCUAAGGAACUUAUGGGAUUACAUAUGAAAGAUAUAGAUAUUUGUGUAUUAUUUGUGAAGUUGUCAUUGGCGGCUUGAAUGUUAUAAAUUAGGUGCUAACUUCUUUAACAGUUUAUAGGGAUAACAGUUGAAGCAUAAUACUUUGAAAUUUUAUGUUUUACUUUGAAAAUGAUUUUCACCGGAGUCGAGCUUUAAAAUAUGAAAGCAUUGUUUUAGCAGGUUUUUAAAUGUAAAAAGAAUUUGAAUAUCUUCAAAUCCAAUGUUUUAAACGUGCGCGAGCAAAGAAACAUAGUAAAACUUGCGGUUGUUUUAAUUUUUCACAGUUUUAAGUGUAAGUUAUAAAAGGUUUUUGGAGCUUAAAACAAUAGACUUUAUUUUUGAACAAUUUUGGGCAUAACAACCGCUCGUACAAUUUCAAAUGGUGACAUAAAAACCAUUUUUGCAUGAUUUUAAUUUUUUUAUUAUUUUCAUACUUAGUUGCUUUUAAAUAUAUUUUU
rnacentral:lncRNA from 1 species